CCACGCACUUCAUGCUGGGUUUUGGUUGCGAACAACUCCCUCGCUGUGGUCUGGACUGUCAUCUCCUCCCUACUCCUGUUUCCCUGUGACUACCAAUGCGAAUGCUGGACGUGGAGCUGACACACUUCCCUCCUCUGCUCCUGUUCCCCUGGGCUAGCUCACAGUGUGGAAAAGG